GUUGUAGCACCAUACUUUGUUAGGUGCAGUGAGGGUCUUUAUCAUCACUGCACGUAACAAAGUAUGGUGCUGCAAC
rnacentral:pre_miRNA from 1 species